UACGUAGGGUGCAAGCGUUGUCCGGAAUUACUGGGCGUAAAGCGCACGUAGGCGGCUUUGUAAGUAAGAGGUGAAAGCCCAGAGCUCAACUCUGGAAUUGCCUUUUAGACUGCAUCGCUUGAAUCAUGGAGAGGUCAGUGGAAUUCCGAGUGUAGAGGUGAAAUUCGUAGAUAUUCGGAAGAACACCAGUGGCGAAGGCGGCCCGC
rnacentral:rRNA from 1 species